CGGCAGAGUUGUGAUGCAGGAGGCCGAUCAGAGCGAGCAGAGCGAAGGUCAGCAGAGUCUUCAUGUUUCUGACAGAGACAGACCAGCUUCUGUUUGAAGGAAGGACUUUAAUCUGCAGCUGAUCUGAGUCCAGAGCUGAUCUGAGUCCAGAGCUGAUCUGAGUCCAGAGCUGAUCUGAGCUGCUUUUAUACUCACAUCAGCUCUGUUCUCAGUAUCUCAGCUUCCUCUCUGUUUCCUCUGCUUCUCUUUUCUUUCCGCUUACUCAUGCUUCUUCUGCUCUUCGGAGAAAGUAGUUAAUGUGUAAAGUGGUUUCAUUGGUACUUGAUUACAUUCUCAGGAUUCCAACACUGUCUCAAUCCAAAAUGUGUCUAUUUGAUGUCCUGGGAAUAUAACUUUAAUAAUCUACCAACUCUCAAAUACUUAUACAAAAAUGCCUGUUAAAUAUAUUUCUUUGACUUCCUCUUAAGUCCCAGAUGAAAUGAAAUGUGAGACACCUGCAGGUGUAAAGAGAGUCUCAGGUAUGAAGUCACACAAUAAUCACGGCUCUGAUGCAGGUGAGCUUCUGGAUGAAAGGUGUCUUUUGAUGGUCACUCAACCAGCUGCACAAGAGGCAGCAGAGGAACCUGAACAGAACCUGAACAGAACAGCGGUUCUGGCUGACAGUCUGGACGAGGUCAGUGGGGCAGGCAGACAGGUGUCGUUCCCACCUGUCUUAAGCCUUCACACAGGGGGCGUGGCCACACCCUGAUUGGCUGUGAGGGGAUUGCCUCCAGCUGCUGUCACUCAUUCAUCAGGAGUCUCUCCACACCUGCACACAGGUGAUCUGAAUCCACUGUUAAUCAUGUUUGCACAGAAGUGGCUGAUAGAAAUGUUCUUCAGAGGGACACGUGAAGGAUCAUCAGGCACAAAACACCAUCGAACAUCUGAACUACAACAUCAGCUACUUUAACUUGUUCAUUAAGUUGUUUUAGCUCCAGUGUUUGCAGCACUUGAAUACAAUACAGUUGAAUGUAAUCUUUAGUCACAAAUGUUUUCAAUCCUCUUUGAGUCCAUUAAAAUGUGAGUUCGGUGCAGAGACACGAGGCAGCAGACAGACAGGAAGUACAUUAUCACACAUCUAAUAAUGUUUAAGAUCACAAGAAUGAGAAAAGGAUGUGAAGGAGGAACGAGGACGAUUAGGUUCCACUUCCCUACAUUUCCUCAUUAAACAAUUUAAUGAUGAGAAUAAUGAAGUCAGAAGUGUUUUUAUUUUCAGUGUGACAGUUUGUUCAUAGAAACUCUGCUCUGCUGUUUCUGGGGGAAACACAAGAAGUGAAACUCAGAUCAUGUUGACCAAUCAGCUCCCAGCAUCAGUGAAAACAACUCUUAUAUUUAAUUCUGCUGAUGAUGCAGCUUGUAGUGCUGCAGCUGAUACUCUGAUUACUUUCACUGAGAGACUUCUAUGUUUCAGCAACUAAACAUUAAAUCACAUGAAACCAAAUGUGAAGCACGUCGUCUGAACACACGAGCGAGAUGAUCCAGUCUGAAACAUCUCUGCUGCUCAGCGACACUCAAACUGUCCUUCUAGCUUCUGUUAUCGAUCAGACAUGAACCUGUAAGGAACUGGCCUCUGCUUUCAGUCUCUGCUGGAUAAUAAACAGAGUGAAUCUCUACCAC